rnacentral:rRNA from 1 species
CACUGACAUUAGAUACCCCUGUAGUCCCAGCCGUAAACUAUGCGCGUUAGGUGUACUGGUGACCACGAGUCACCGGGGUGCCGAAGGGAAACCGUGAAACGUGCCGCCUGGGAAGUACGGUCGCAAGGCUGAAACUUAAAGGAAUUGGCGGGGAGCACCACAACAGGUGGAGCCUGCGGUUUAAUUGGAUUCAACGCCGGACAUCUCACCGGAUAAGACAGCUGAAUGAUUGUCAAUCUGAAGGUUUUACAUGACUAGCUG